GAAGCAACGCGAAGAACCUUACCAGGUCUUGACAUCCCGCUGACCGCUCUGGAGACAGAGCUUCCCUUCGGGGCAGCGGUGACAGGUGGUGCAUGGUUGUCGUCAGCUCGUGUCGUGAGAUGUUGGGUUAAGUCCCGCAACGAGCGCAACCCUUAUCUUUAGUUGCCAGCAUUCAGUUGGGCACUCUAGAGAGACUGCCGUCGACAAGACGGAGGAAGGCGGGGAUGACGUCAAAUCAUCAUGCCCCUUAUGACCUGGGCUACACACGUGCUACAAUGGUUGGUACAACGGGAUGCUACCUCGCGAGAGGACGCCAAUCUCUUAAAACCAAUCUCAGUUCGGAUUGUAGGCUGCAAC
rnacentral:rRNA from 1 species